GAUGAACGCUGGCGGCGUGCCUAAUACAUGCAAGUCGAGCGAACAGACGAGGAGCUUGCUCCUCUGACGUUAGCGGCGGACGGGUGAGUAACACGUGGAUAACCUACCUAUAAGACUGGGAUAACUUCGGGAAACCGGAGCUAAUACCGGAUAAUAUAUUGAACCGCAUGGUUCAAUAGUGAAAGACGGUUUUGCUGUCACUUAUAGAUGGAUCCGCGCCGCAUUAGCUAGUUGGUAAGGUAACGGCUUACCAAGGCAACGAUGCGUAGCCGACCUGAGAGGGUGAGCGGCCACCCUGGAACUGAGCCACGGUCCAGACUCCUACGGGAGGCAGCAGUAGGGAAUCUUCCGCAAUGGGCGAAAGCCUGACGGAUCAACGCCGCGUGAGUGAUGAAGGUCUUCGGAUCGUAAAACUCUGUUAUUAGGGAAGAACAUAUGUGUAAGUAACUGUGCACAUCUUGACGGUACCUAAUCAGAAAGCCACGGCUAACUACGUG
rnacentral:rRNA from 1 species